rnacentral:rRNA from 1 species
UACGGAGGGUGCAAGCGUUAAUCGGAAUUACUGGGCGUAAAGCGUACGUAGGCGGCUUGUUAAGCAAGAUGUGAAAUCCCCGGGCUCAACCUGGGAAUGGCAUUUUGAACUGGCAGGCUCGAGUUCUGAAGAGGGUGGUAGAAUUUCCAGUGUAGCGGUGAAAUGCGUAGAUAUUGGAAGGAAUACCGGUGGCGAAGGCGCCCCUCUGGACGGUAACUGACGCUGAGGCGCGAAAGCGUGGGGAGCAAACAGG